UAUAGGUGGAUAGGGGGAGUACUUGGAGGUGACAGAACACCAUUGUAUGUGAAAGUACCUUGUGAACAAAGUAAGGAUUGUGAAUCGAAUGUGUGACACAUUUCAGAAUGGGCCCCAGGUAACCCGUAUAGUGAGAGUGAUUCAGAUGAAGAGAUAAUGUGAAUAGAAUUGUUUUGGUUUGCUUUUUGGUCAACGUAAGGGUUGCACAUAAUGGUAUCUGUUAGUCGUCGUAAACAUUAGAUAACAUUAAAUGGGGUCAUAAACGUUAGGUAUGGUGUCUGUUCUUGUUUUACUUUGAUGUUUCUGUAUAAAUGGUAAAGCUUUCUUGAGAAACGGGAGAGAACAUUUAGACCUUGUUGGUGACGGGGUCUCUCCUUUAUGCAUGAAGUAAAGAUAUGAUUCACUGAACACUGAUGACUCCAGAAUUUCUUUCACAAAAGCCAAGGAGAUGUACAUACGUGGAACUGAGUUUGCCGGAUAGUUUAGGAAACUUUUAAUCCAAUUUUCAGUUUAUAUCUUAUAAUGUAUGUGAGUGUCUUUAACGAUUAAUGAUUUUGCUCUAUCAUUUUGUCUUGUCAGCGAGAUAACCCAGCUUGGGGAACAGCUUCAGAGCCACAUGUCAACAAAAGCAAGGCUGAAACUAGAUAGGAAAGCCUUGGAGAGUGAGGAAUUUCUCAAGCGCCUGUAAUCCCUGGAUUGUGAAUUGUCUGCUGUGCAUAAAAUAAAAACGAUAUAUGAUUCA